UUUUUUUUUUUUUUUCAGAGCCACACCUGUAGCAUAUGGAGGUUCCCAGGCUAGGGGUUGAAUUGGACCUAUAGCUGCCGGCCUAUGCCACAGGCACAGCAACACAGGAUCCGAUGCGAGUCUUCGACCUACACCACAGCUCAUGGCAACACCGGAACCUUAACUCACUGAGUGAGAACAGAGAUCAAACCCGCAUCCUCAUGGAUACUAGUGUGGUUCAUAACACACUGAGUCACAAUGGGAACUCCCUAGUUAUGUAACAACUUUUUAAUGUCGUCCUUUCAGAAGUUUAGAUUUCAUAAAUCAGAGUAUUUUAUAGCAAGGAAUUCCUGUCCUAUGGCUUGAGAACUAUUCUUACCUCCUACCACUUUCUCUAUAUAGAUACUAUAGUAAAUAUCUAUAAAUGUCAACAUUUCAUGGUACCAUCACACCCUUGAAAGUUUAUCUGAAUGCAAACCAUUAUGGUUUUAGGGUGAAAAUGACAGAAUCAAGGCUGUGAGUCUACUUACAGAUUUGGGGAAAAAAAAAAAAAUCAGAUGCUUGUAGGUAUUGGCCCUUCAAUGGUAAAAUGCCAGCUGCCAACUAGAGUUCUUUUCUAAUUGCCUUUGUGUAUAAGCCACCAAAACACAAAGUUCAGAUCCAGGUAAAAACCCUCCAGUAGUGUAAAAGAGGAGACUAGGAUGAAAGAGUGUAUUUGUAUUGUUGGUGGUUCCAGUGCUUUGACAGGAGCAAGAGUACCUCAAACAGGACACAGUCUAGAUGAAUAGGAAACAUGUUAUCAAAGCAAGCCUUCAAAGGCUGUAUUUGUUGAGAAAUCAUUAGUUAUUUUUAUUCCUAUGAUACAUCUUCUCUGGUGAUGGAAACUCCUUAUUUAUUUAUUUUUUCAGAAACUAAAACACAAAAGGAAACUGAAAAAGCUACAAACUGAUUUGGCAACAGCUAAGCAAGAGGCUGCCAUUACGGUCUUGGAACUCAAUGAGAAGAUAAAGGCUCUAUGUGAAGGAAAGCCAGUCCCUAGAGGUCAGUGUUACCAUGUGACAGUCACACUGUGGCCAAUGGUCUUGGAUGAUGCAUACAGAUUUACUGGCAACAAAGCAAAAGGUAAGGUCACAGUGCCAGGCAGUGUACCGGGCCAGCAGCGUGCUGGCCUGGCCCAACCUCCGUCUGCAUGAUUAGAGACAGCACACAAACUCCUAACUCCAGGCUGGUGGCUUUCCGCGUCUGAGGGGUAGGAGGAUGUAUUGACGGUUGUUUAAAGCAAAGUCUCUGAGGCUGAAGCACUGGACUCAAACACGUCUCUAAGUAUGCUGCUGGGCAGCAGGGGAGGAAGUGCAGGGCCCAGGGGAGGAAAUCUGAGGCUCUAGGGAUGGAGUUCUCAUAGUGGGGCAAGGAGUGGGGCUUACGUAAAAGUGUAGACUGGCCAAUAAGCUAAGAUAGGCACGGGGAAGGAAAGAAAUUCGUGUUGUAACCAUAGCCGAAUGAGCCAGAAACAGGCGGGGUAGGUGGGUCGGGAUGAAAUCUGGGUGGUUCAGAAACAUUUAAUAGCUGCUUCGGUUUGGAUUUUUUUUUUAAGGCUUCUCUAAGAUUAUAAACACAUUUGGAGGGCAAGGGGGAACCCAAUGUGAGGGUUAUCAGCACUAAUAUGAGUUAACAUUUAAUACUAUUUGUAAGGAAUUUUGCUAAACAUCUCACCUAUACUUAAUUCUCAGAAUAACCUCUGAAGCUAGGGCAUUUAUGGAUUCCACAAGAAUAAGCACAGGCUUAGAGAUGUGGAUUAUUGCCUUGCCCCAGGUCAGGUGUGUGAGCAACACCUGGGCAGUCACCCAGGGCGCCUGCGCAGCUCUGGGGCAGUGAGGCCAUUUCUCUGCUAUGCUGUAGCUACAGUAAAGCUCAUUCUGCCUGGUGGAUCGCUUGCAAAACCAUGGUUCCCUGGGAUGAAUGUCUUCCUUUGAUGUGCGGCACUCUUGUAAAGCCAGGAACAGGCAAUUGUUCUUACUCCAGCUUCCUUUAUUACUCAUAAGUAAUUAUGGAAAAAGAGGAGGAGCAUGGAAAUAGUGUGUGUGGCGGGCGGGCAGGGGGGACACGUAAGUGAUGCGGUAGCUGCAAAAAGUGAGACACUCCCAGCAUCCUGACCACAUGGGAAAGCGUUUAAGAUGAGUUUACUUUUAACUUUCAUUUUUGAACAGCACUUUCCCGACACUGAAAUGGCACGUGACACAGUCACCUUGAGACACGUGUUUUUCUCUUUCCACAAGCCAACAUAAAGACACUUAAUUUGCUUUUACCACCUUGAAAGCUAAAAGAAUAACCUCCAUUAGAAAAUAUUAUUCAUCUAAAGGUCUUUAUUCUAAGGCAUCAUAGCCAGAUUUCAGGUUGGUUGUACAAUGAGCUGACCGUGAUUGUACAGCACAUUGGAGAAAGUUCUCCAGCUCACCUAAGAGAAGCUUUCAACUUCUCGACUGUAUUUUGAAUCUGGUGGGGGAAAAAUAAAUUUUAUUGCAAGGUAUCUAAUUCUCAUUACUCUCAUUUUUGACAAAAAUAAUAUUAUUUGGUAUCAAAUGAUAUUUUUGUCCCUUUGAUGUUUUGACAAGUCAAAGUUAAAAUUAUACUGAAGUACCAGGAUUCUAAUGGUGGUGGAGAGGUUUGAAAACAUUAAAUCCCAACUUUCUUUGUAUUUUUUCCCUGUACAUUUACAUUUAAAAGGAAAAAAACUACCAGUACAGGGAAAAGAAAAUAAAACGAAACAACCUAAUGUCUUUUGAACAGACAGACAUAAAUUUUAAAAAAGCCAAGUCCUUCAAGGUCAAUUACAGAUGAAAGGAGUAACUCCAUUUGAACCUACAUGUUGCUUCUUUUACUUGGUGGAGAAACUGAGUCAGCGGAUUGACAAGCAGCACUAAAGUCUUAAACUGAGUAUUUACACAAUCUUACUCUCCCCCGGGUCUCAUACAGCCACACCUCACAUUCAAUGGGCCAGGAGAUAGUCACGGCUGUUGUGGCCCCAGGGUAUUAUUAGCUGUCAUUCUCAGACUUUGGUCACCUUGCUCUACUUCUUAACUCAUCUGAAAGUAAAGCCUGAAAGGAUGUAGGUAACUUUAACACACAAUGACUCCCAUUUAACCACUGAACAAUUAGAGUUGACCCACCUCCCCCACACAUUCCUUGACCAGAACACCACUCCUUCCCUAGUUAGUCUUGGGUCCUGUUAUAAAAUGUUGGCCUUUGGUUCUCAGACCUCUGUUUGCAAAUGUCAGAUGCCCCCCCUCAAAAUAGCUUAAGGAGAACUGGUAAUUUAGUGGCACAAGUGUAAACCGACUAACAAAGGGCAUGCCAUCUGCUUUCGAGUCCCACUGGUCAAGGUCUCAGAUGCCCUCAAGGACACGCUGUGUUUUCUGCUUCUCUCUGCAUUGAGAUGUUCCUUCUCUCCUAUGCGAUGUCAGGAGAGACAGGAAACAGGGCCACAAGCAACUAAGGGCUGCCCUCCUUACCUCCCCUCCAGGAGGAAAAAAAGCAUUUUCCUAUCAGCUCCAGUUUUUUAAAAAAGUAUAAGAAGGAACUCUGACAUGGCUUGGCUUGGGUAUUCAUGAGGGAACAUGAAUCACUCCUCAUGGCCAGGAGUGAGGAAGUAUGGUUGGACAAGCUUCGAUCAUGCACCAGCCACUGAGAAAUCAAGAUGGGAAAGAAGAAUGUGGUGACUCGUGGCUCCCACCAGAAGCAAAGGGCUGGAUUAGAAGAACACUUCCUUCAAGGAAAGGGUACCCAUUGCAGGAAAGACCAACACGUCCCAUACACUCUCAGCUAAUGAUCAAGUUAAAAAUGCAAUAAAAUGGGAGUUCCCGUCGUGGCGCAGUGGUUAACGAAUCCGACUAGGAACCAUGAGGUUGCGGGUUCGGUCCAUGCCCUUGCUCAGUGGGUUAACGAUCCGGCGUUGCCGUGAGCUGUGGUGUAGGUUGCAGAAGCGGCUCAGAUCCAGCGUUGUUGUGGCUCUGGCUCAAUUCUUCUCGAUGAACAAAGAUUAUGAUCCAAUUCAUCAUCCAAGAAAUAAAUGUCCAACAGCAUAAUUUCAGACCCCGCAGUAGAUGGAGAGUGAACCACUUUGGAAAAGGAGUCCCCUUCCAGCCUCCAUCAGGCGACCUCAUGGUCACCUACUCUGAAGACCUGUCUUUCUAUAGUAAUUGAAACUGCAAGAGGGAGAAAAAGGUGUUGAUUCUAAGUGACAUGUUACGUGGAUUAGCAUAAAGUGACUUCUCUGCUACAGUUACAAAGCAGUGCCUAUAGUGAUCCUAAGCAGAUCAAUGAGAUACAGCCAAAGAAGUUAGAAUUUCAUUUUUAUGCAAAUAUGCAAAAAAAUUUUCCCGGUUUUGCUCAUUUUCUAAGUAAGCCUACAUAUAAGGUUGCUGUUCAGCUCUUCCGAUACGAGGAAUGUCCUAAAAUACAAGGAAUCCUUUUAAGCAUAUUCAAAUUGAUGAAAACAGUGAGCUACCAAACUUUUUAAACACCUAAACCCAGAAAAAUUAUUUCAUUGGCUAGGUACUUAAAUUACUUCCAAGGAAAUAAGUGAUUUAAGUCAAUGGAAAGUUCAACUGAGAAGAAAAACAUCUUUAUUAUAAAACUGGCACAGCAGGAAACUUACUUAGAGCCUGAGCAGUUGUUUGUUGAUUUUACUCUGUGCAAAUAAUCACAGCCAAGGGCAGAUUCCUUGCCUCCUUUCCAUAGCCUGUACCUGAAGUGCUUACACUUUAAUUUAUUAGCGGAAUUCAAUGAAAUGCCUAUCGUACCCCUUAAAAACUGGAGUCCACCUUUUGGUAAACCUUAGUGUGCAGGAGCCUAAGGUUACAAUUCAAAACAAUCCUCGCUUCCUUUGGCUUUGGAGCACAAAGUUAGUUUGGGAAAGACCUCUUUUGGAAAAGUCCUGUUGUUGGCACACAAGUGUCAGGUCACCGGCUAGGAUGAAGGCUCCUGUCUCUGGUCACUACAUCAGGGAUCUGGUUUAUAAGACUUCAAGCUAGCAUACUAAAGGGAAUGCACUCUUCUGGGUUUUGGUUUGUGUUUUAUGUUUUUGUCUUUUGAGGGCUGCACCCUCGGCAUUUGGAAGUCCUCAGGCAGGGGUCAAAUCGGAGCUGCAGCUGCCAGCCACAGCCACAGCAACGCAGGAUCUAAGCUGCAUCUGUGAUCUUCACCACAGCUCAGGACAACGCAGGGUCCCCAACCUACUGAUUAAAGUCAGUGAACCCGCAUCCUCAUGGAUACUAGUUGGCUUCAUUACCACUGAGCCAGGGAGAGAAAACCUCUUCUAGGAUUUUUGGCCUUUCCUUUCUUUUUUCUUAAUAUGUACAACUAGUAUAUCAAAUAAUGUAUAUCUACCUCCCUCCUUCAAGUUCCCAUUGUGCCCUGAAAGCUGUGUCCCCUCAAGUCAGUGUCUUAGUUUCACUCACAUUAAGAAGACACCCCCUGGGAGUUCCCGGCAUGGCUCAGUGGUAACAAAGCCGACUAGUAUCCAUGAGGACACAGGUUCAAUCCCUGGCCUCAUUCAGUGGUUAAGGAUCUGGCAUUGCCAUGAGCUGUGGAGUAGGUCACAGAUGUGGCUCAGAUC
rnacentral:lncRNA from 1 species